rnacentral:lncRNA from 13 species
AAAGGAAGAGGGUUUUUGGUUUUCUUCUUUCACUUUUCUCUCCACAACAGCAAUUCUUUGACUUUAGGAAGUGUCAUAGGUUAGCAAGCACAGUCCCGGAAGGGACGUCCUUGCUAAGGGGUGCUUACAGUUUCCUCUGGGAACUGAUAGAACCUAUCAGCUGGCCAGUUUGAAUAUGGACAAUUCUCUAAGCCACUUAAAGUUGUGAUCACCUCUGUGAUCCACAUUUAAGAAUAGGCAAACUCCCCCUCCAAGCUCUCUCUCGUUUCCGGCGCUGGGACAGGUGGCUGCGGGCCCCGUGUGGGGGCCAGCGGGCCCGGCCAGGCCCUGCUUGGGCCAGGCCGGGCCGGGCCACGGCCAUCCUGAAGCCAUGGACCUGUUCCAGCCAUGGAACCCCCCCCACUGCCUUGCCGUGGGCAGCCGGAGCGGCUCGGCUCUCCCCCCUCUCCACUGCGAUAAGAAAAAUUCAACAUUCCAGCUGCAAAGCUGCAAGGCCGAGGAGGAAAAAACUGCUGCUCGUAAGUCCCAUUGCCAACAAAUUCCACCAGCUCAAAGAUUUCUGCAGGAUUUCGCAGUGCCGAGAAGUUGAUUUCAUCCAGGUUCUGCAUCGGGGAACCGCUCGCCGUGUUUCUGCUACCGGCCACGUGGCCCCUGCCGCCACUGCAUGGGCAGUGCUGGCGGCCACGGCACCGGUGCAUUCAGCGCCUCUCUUCAUGUGGAGCGCCGAAAAGGAGAAGCCACCGCCGCCGCUCCUGCCCUUCUGCCCACAGUGUGGCUGGCUAAGUGCAGCCAGGCAGGCAAAGCUCACCGUGGGCUGUGCUGAGGUGGCGGUGACUGCGUGGCCACGGUGGCCGCAUGGCCGCUCAUGGCGCCAGGAUGGUCUUGGUGGUGGGGCCAUCCCACCCCUGGGGAAAAGCUGCGCACGCUGUUUUGAUUUCCUUCUUAGAUAUGUCAUUACAGAGGUGUUACCAGCUUCUCUAAUUGGGCCAGAAGUAUGUCCAUCUUCAGAGCAAUUGGCUCUGCUGGACAUGGUGGAAGCUUCUAGCAGCUUCUCAUGGAAGCAACCUCUUUGGUUUCCCCCCCCCCCACCAAAAAAUCAGGCUGUGUUAAACCAACACAAGAAGAAAAUUUCAGAGAUGUAA